CGUGAUCUCUCCACCAGGGAGGUGAAAUAAACCCUGAGCAAACUGUUCUGAGUUAGCCACCUUAAGCUGUCCUUUUUCUACAUUUGGCAACACUACAAAGGGACCUCAGAACAUAAUCUAUAGGUAAGUAGGAAACCCCACCCUCCCACUAGUCUCCUGGGCUUCCCGCCCAUGCAAAAGGCAGGAAGCAGCUACUGGACUUCCCCUCCAUCUACUCCCUUUGAUCCCUUGUCUCCGUCAUCCUUCCCAUUCUCCCUUCUCUCUCCACCUCUUCCUCCACCUCUUCCUUCCCUCUGGAUCCCUUGUGUAGCUGGGUUUUUCUUUUUUCUGCCAGCUCCUCUGGGAACCCACCACUGAGAUCCACCAGGGCUUCUUUGUCAUCUGGCUCAUCUCUUUCUCCCUCUUUUCCACUCUCUCUUCCUCCUUUCCUCUCCUCCAUUAUAACCUCUCCAGUUUAUUUAUUUCUUUCUCCCUCCUUUCUCCUCCAAGCCUAACUUCCGAAGCCCUGCAGAACUGAGCUUUCAAACUCUUCCCAGGAACCCUGCUAAGUCCUCCUCAGUGCUCUUUUUUCUGCCAAUUUUUCCUGUAUCCCACCUUCCCUCUUCCAGCCCAGCUUCUCCAGCUGUCCCCUUCUUCACCUCACCCCCUUCAACCUAGCUCUUUCUCCUGCCAGAGACCCUCUGCUGAGUGGGGCUUUUUCUCCUUCUCUCCUUGCUUUCCUGCUAUCUUCCUUCCCCUGUCUCUCCCUUUUUUCUUCCUCCUUGCUCUCUCUAGAUCCUGAUCUCCCCUGAGCACCUCAGAUCUGGUACUCUCCAUCUUUCUUUUUUUGUUUGUUUUUCAUUCCACCUACCUCCUGCUUCUUGCUACUUUUGCUCUUUUUCUCUCUCUCCCUUCCUGUCUGCCCUGCCUCACUGAACUUCUCCACUCCAAGGGUCCACUUCCCCCCAACUUCAUCCCUCCCUCUUGGGAAAUCACUGGGAUACCUGCUCCCUGCUCCCUGCUCCUGCUUGAUCGAUUCCUAGCCUGCAGCCCCUGAUCCCUGCCACCAGACCCCUGCUGAGAGUUCUUCAGAAGCAGGUAAGGUAUACAUCCUUUCCCCAACCACCCCCUAGCACAGAAGCACCCCACCCCAUUCGUGUGGAUUUUUUCUCUCUCAAACUCUCCCCCACCACCAUGCAAACUUCAAUUUCCUGCCCAACCCCAGAAGUUUGCACCUACACCUGCUGUUUUGUUUGUUCUGUUCUGUUCUAAAAUAUAGCAUAAUGUUGAAAACCCUGAUGAACAGCCUUUUGUCCACUGGGGUUUUUGAUAACCUUAGGGGCUCAGACUAGCUUUUUCUUUUAUUAAUAUUAUGAGGUUUUCUUUUUCUAUUCCUCAAUAAUAAACACCAAAAGGCCUACCUGCUUAACAUGCAGAUUCAAAUGCAGGCCAAAAUGUAAGCCCAACUGGAGAUUUUAAAGAGAUCUGUGUCUGGUUUCCAGAUCCAACAGGAAGACCCCUCUCCACCUCUGUCUCAGGUGGAAGAUACCUUUCCACCUCUGCCUUAGGUGUAAGAUACAUCUUCACCUACAUCUCAGGUGGAAGACCCCUCUCUACCUAUAUCUCAGGUGGAAUUUCUCCUCUCACGUCUCUUGCAACUCCUGGCCAACCUGUUAUCCCCUGCCCCUUCUCCUAGUGCCCUACCAUCUCCUUGCCCUUCUCCCAGCCCACAGCCUUGCCCAUCCCCAGACCUAGUUCCUACCCCUCCCCUUUUCCCCACCUCUCCCCUUACUUUUUUCAGUUUUGACACAAACAUCCUCAAAAAAAGACUAGAACUGCAUAUGAAUCAUAUGAAUAUAUUUUCCCCUUAAGUGAAGUGCCCACAUUAUGGACAAAUGGAAGCAUGGUGACCUUAAGGCACCACAUGCCUUUUACUCCCCAGUACAUAAAAAUUUUAAACAAAAUGUUCCCUUAUAUGAAGAUGGACCAAUUGUAGUCAUAAAAACUCUGGAGAAAAUUUUCCCCACAUAUGAUCCUGCUUAUCAGGAUGUGCAAAACUUGCUCCAGGAAUUUUUGAAUGAAUAGGAGAAAGGGAAAAUUAUUUCCACUGUUAAUAGAGCUAGAGGAAGGAAUGCAAUUCAUUGGCCUGAACAUGAACCAAAAUGGAAUUAUAAUGAUGAGGAUGAAUAUUUUCAGCUAUGUUAUUCCAGGGAGUCUUUGCUAAAGACAAUGUGCGAAUACUCUGAUAGGCCUGGCACAUGGACCAAAUUUGAAAAUCUUAAACAAUUGGAGGAAGUCACACUCCCAAUUUAUGGACAGAUUAAUUGAACUAGGAGGAAGGUGUAUAGACCUGGACCUCACUAGAGAAAGGGAAGUGUGGCAAACAUGGAGACAAUUUGUGAACAAUUGCUCCAAAGUGAUCCAAAACUAUUUCAAAUCUAACUGCCCAAAUUGGCCUAAUAUGGGCCUAGAAGAAUUGCACAGGGUCACAGUAUAUAUUUCUAAAGGCCAUGAACAAAGAAAUUAGGAAACAAAUCACUUGGUAGCAAAAUUAUGGAAGGAACUAAAAUCCUUAACUGAAAAAUUUGAUAAAAAGAGAGAAUGAAGAUCUACCAAUGAUCAUUGCCCCUUUGCAGGAAUUCACACAUUAAUCAUUAAUGUGCUACUUCUGUGCAAUACAGGGUCACAUAAUGAUGAAUUGAUGGAAUUGGAAACAGGCAGCUUGAAAUAACAAUUUCAGAAAUAAUAGUUUCAGAAAUAAUAACAUUAGAAAUAAUAACUUCAUGAAUAAUAACACCUUUAGUAAUCCUAACUAUUAUAGAAAUCUCAACAAUUAGGGUAAUAAUACUCCACAUCCAAAUUCAAAUCGGGAAAACUAUAACUCACACCUACAACAACAAUAGAUCCAAAGUGGAGCUCAUCCAUAUUAUACUCAGGGUGAGACUGCCCCUCAGCUUAGGGGAACCCAAGGUAAUUCCCCAAACACACUAAAUAGUCAAAAAUCUUUAUGAAGGUAUGAAGAAAGAAUAGGGCACUGGAAUGAGAGGGUACAGCCUUUGAUUUCCCAGAUACUGAUGUCUUAAUGCCAGAAAUUGAAAAGGAAUAUUUCCCUUCUAACAAAAUAUUACAAGUAUAUACAAGAGUUUAUUAAUGCCUGGCAUUGAAAAGAUUAUCUUGGAAAAUUAAGCACUGGCUAAUAAGCAUAAUGAAAUAUCCAAAUCACUAGAAAUUUGGAUCAUUAUUAAAUUUAACCCAAAAAGCACUUCAAAAUGACUUAUAGUAUUUGGAACAUUUACAAUAAAUACCACACUACACUGUGAUUGACAUAAAUCCUUUGAAGGGAAAAUUUAUGGCUCCAUAUUUAAAGUGUUGGUUAAUCUAUAAUAUUGCUCCCAUUUAAAGAGAAUACCUUCUAUAAUAUUGCUCCCAUGUCAAGAGAGCACCUUCUACCAAUGAUGAGUAAUUGUAUUGAUCCUAUUGUAUUGUACUAAUUGUUUAUUAAUUGUUUGCUUUGAGAAUUGUUGCUAUAUAGCUAUUGUAAUAUUUGCUAUUCGGUAUGUAUUUUGUAACAUCCUAUAUUUGACCCUGAAUAUAUACCUUUGUAAAAGUCCAUGAACUAAUUGGACAGAAAACUUGUAUUGAUGACUUGAUGUACUUGUAUUUUGUAUGUUUUGAAAAUUUGAAAUUUUCUUUGAACAUGUCUAACUCAUUGCCUAUUGUUUUUUAAACCUAUUACUUUACUUUGAGAAAAAUCAUUUGCACUCACACUGUGGAUCAUGGCUAAGUUAAGAAGAAAUGGAUCUCAAUUCUUGGAAUUCAGAGACAAACUCCUUGUGGAAGAUGCCAUGGAGAUACCUGUGAAGACCACAUGCUGCUCCAGGAGAUCCUUAGCAAACCAGAUGUGCAAAAUUGAACUUUGGAGGGUUAAAUUCAUUUGUUUUGUUAGAAUGCAUUUGUUUUAUAUAUACUUUGUUGUGCAAAAUGGGACGGCCCCCUAAUUGGUUUUGUUCUUGUUUCUCUUUUGUUUCGUUGUCCCCAGGUAGUAUUUUCCCAGUGUAAAAUUGUAUGUACAUUAGUAUGUUAUGUUUAUUAUGAUCCACUGGGGAGACUGGGCUCCAAAAGGAUCACAGGGAGAAAUGUGGGUUUUAAACUGUAUCCUGGCUGGGGAUUGCAGUUCCCAGCAUGCCCCAGGGGUCCCUCCCUCCUACUUCCUGGAGUGGAAUUGAAUGGACCAAUCCCAUGCUGGGGGAGAAAUCACAGCCCUAUUUCCUGGCAUGGGAUUACUCCUGAGUUGGACUAAUCCUGUACUAGUGAGGGGUCAUGUCCUCCCCACUUUGCAGCGUGGGAUUGGUCUAUAUAAGGACCAAUCCCACACCUAGGUAGGCUCUUGUUCUUUCUAGGAAUGAGGGUAGUGCAUGGGGAUGGGAGUAGUGAAAGUGAGUAGUUAAUUUCAGGGUGGGAUGGGAAACUCUGGUUUCUUUUGUUUAAAGAAAAUAUUUAAAAGAUCACAGUGAGUGAGGAGUUUUUCUUUUAGCCUUUUUCUACAAUGUUCAACUCAUCUCUAUGUAUUUGAGAAACAAAACCUUUAUUAGAGAGACUUGUAAAAAUUUUUGUGCCAUUCUGAUUCCUGUGUUUUACUCUUACUCCUAUUUCCCCCGUUAGUUUCUGACUACCCCUUCCUCAACUUGCUCUCUUUUCUAUCAGCCCCACUCUCCUUCUCUUAUCCCUUCUCCCUCCUACUUUCUUCUAGGACAAAAUAGACUUAUAUACCAAUUUAUUCUGUAUGUUCUUCCCUCCCUAAGCUAAUUCCAAUGAGAGUAAGGUUCAUAUGCUCUCCUCCUCACCUCUCCCAUCUUUCCCUUCCCUGUAAAAGUUCUUUCGUGCCUCUUAUAUGAGAUAAUUCUUCCUAUUCUAUUUCUCCCCAAAGAGAAUGAGAAUCUCUGACCCUUUUCUAAAUCAUGAACUGGGACUACCACAACCAAUUAGUAUUUUUCUAAAGAACUAAUUAAUCUGGGAUAUUGAUUAAUACUUAUGGUCGUUAUAUUUUAUAAAGUUAUAUAGUAAGCUGAAUAUAAUGUAUUCGGUUGUUUUUUUCUGUAACUUCAUAUUAACUGCAGUUUCUGUAAUUUCCCAUUUUCUGUAAUUCUGUAAAACAACAUAUUGCAAUGAGGUGUGGCUUUACCCAAUCUGUGUAUCCUAAUUAGAAGGGAGUGACUCGUAGGUCAUCAUCCAAGAGACAGGUCUCUGAGCUGAAGGCCUCUGUCCUUUCCUAGGCAUGCAUAGAAGGCCUAUUCUGUGGAAGACCUACUUCCUAAGCAUACACAGAGAAGACUUGUCAUAUAUGCCUUAUAUGCCUCUUUGCCAUCUAAGGAAAGAAAGGGGUUGGCUAUGGAAGUGUCUGACCUCUGGAGGUCCAGAAAAGAGAAGUGUUAGGGUAUAUAACUGGUGGAAAUUCCUCAUUCACUUAUCUUUAGUUGGGCAUAUGGAAGCUUAAAGAGCCAGCUUUCCUGAGAGACAUCAAUUCUCUCUCAAUAAAUCUGUUAUUGACUUGCAGCUUUGCCUCUUUAUUUUUAGAUUGACUGGGAUAUUCAUCACAUCCUAUCCUACUUCUCUCAAUGUAUUCCUCUUUUUCAUGCCUAUUUUUUUUUUAGAAAUCAUCCCAUCAUAUUCAACUCAUACCCUUGCCCUCAAUCUGCAUAUACUUCUUCUAACAGCCCCAAUAAUGAUAGAGUUCUUGGGAGUUAUAAGAAUUUUCUUCUUGUGUAUGUAUUGUGAAUAUUGGAUUAGGUUCUCCCCUAAUUUUAACAAUGAAGGUACUUAGCUCUUCCUUAAUUGUGAAGAUUAAAUUGUAAUCCCCUGUCUUUUUAGAUUUUAAUCCCCAUAAAUGUAAACAUGGUACUUUAAAGUUAAGUAUGGAGAUCUACCCAUUUUUGGACUUAACCAAAAAAAUAUACGAAAAGCCAUCUCACACACUAAGUGGGAGGUCUCUGACCCACUUGUGAAAGAGUGGGUGAUGAAUCAGAAUCAAACUGACUGCCUUCUAGGUAGUCCUAGAGUGGAGAAUUGGCUGUGAUUGGUAGACAUAAAGAUUAAGAGAAGUGAUGCAAGAAAAAAAAAGUCUUUAAAAGUGAUAACCAAGGACUUGAAAUCAGUUCUUCUGGGAGUUUAACUUGGAACUCUCACUUGGAGUGGAACCUCCUGUGAGAGAGAGUUCUGCUGCAGUUCUACUGGAGUGGAGAAUUUUCUUCAUUCAGAAGAGUGCUGACUGGACCCGCUUCCUCGUGACCCCUUUUCUUUGGCUUUCUGAUGAGUGCAAAGGCUGACUCCCUUUCCUUGGCCUUUCUGGAGGCACCAGCCUCUGGAGAGGCUCAUCGUCUUGGGACUCCUUUCCCUCUGCUGGGGCCUUUGAAUUCCUGCCUGGCUCAGAGGAGGCCAGAAUAGCUCUCUCUGUCCUUUCCUCUCUUUCUCUCUUCCUUAAUAUUUUCCCUCUAUUAUAAAUAAACUACCAUAAAUUCCAUUCUGAUUUGAAUAACUCAUUUGGGAUUUAUAAAUUUAAAUUUCUGGUGACCAACUAAAAUAUUAGUCAGUCCAAUGAUGAAUUUAACAGCAUUUAAACAGUUUCAUUUUAUUGAAUGUUUUUUUAUUUCUCUUUCCUGUUUAAUUUUUUGUGCUUCACAUUAGAAUUGUAUUUGAGAGUCAAAUUUUCCAUCCAACUCUGUUUUUUUUAUCAGGAAUAUCUGAAAGUUCUAUAUUUCAUUGAAUUCUCAUUUUUCUUCCCAGAAGGAUUAUACUGCUUUCUUGAGUAAGUGAUUUUUGGUUGAAGUGCUCAUUUCUUUUCCCUCUAGAAUAUCAUAUUCCAGACUCUCUGAUCCUUUAAUAGAAAAGCUGCUGAAUCUUGUGUUUUUCUGAUUGUAGCUCCCUGAUAUUUGAAUUGUUUCUUUUGGGCUGUUUGGAAUAUUUUCUCCUUAACCUGGGAUUUAUGGAAUUUGGCUGUUAUUCCUGAGAGUUACUAUUUUGGGAGGGUAUCUCAUUCAGGAAAUGAUCAUGGAUUCUUUCAAUUGAAAUCUUACCCUCUGGGUCUAGAAUAUCAGGACAGUUUUCCUAGAUACUUUCUUGAAAAAAUUAUGUUCAAGCUCUAUUUUUUUUAUUAUGUCUUCCAGGCAGUCAAAUAAUUCUUAGAUGAUCUCUCCUGUAUUUAUUUUCCAGGCCAAUUGUUUUUCCUAUGAGAUAUUUCACAUUUUCUUCUAUUUCAUUUUCAUUCUUUUGACUUUGUUUCUUCAUGUUUCAUGGAGUCAUUAGUUUCUAAUUUUUAAGGCAUGAUUUUCUUGAGUGAGUACUUCCUUUUCCAUUUGAUCAAUUCUGUUCUAUAAAGAUUUCCUUUCCUCAGUGAAUUAUUGUACCUGUUUUUCUAUGCCAAUUCUGCUUUUUAAGAAGUUCUUCUCAUCAGUGCAUAUUUAUAUAUUGUUUUCCAUUUGGCCAAUUCUGCUCUUUUAGAAGUUCUUCACUUCAGUGGCCUUUUAUCCUUCUUUUCUCAGUUGGUCUAUUCUGUUUUUUAAGAUGUUAAUUUCUUAAGUCUUUUUGUGUCUCCUUUACCAAACUGUUAACCAUUUUUUUCCUAUGAUUUUCUUGUAUCACUAUCAUUUUCUUUCCAAAAUUUUCUUCUUCCUCUCUUAUUUGAUUUUUUAAAAUUCUUUUUGAGCUCUUCAACUAAUUCUUUUUGGGUUUAAGGCCAGUUAAUGGAUGCAGCAGUAUUGGUUUUCUUGUCAUCUUCUAAGUUUGUGUCUUGGUUGUCUUUAUCACUAAAAUAACUUUCAAUGUUGAGUUUCUCUUUUUGUCUAUUAGUUUGCUUGUUUUCCUGUCUUUUUCUCUUCUUUUAGUUUAAAAAAGCUGUUAAAAGUUCCCUCUCUAACUUUGUUGAAGGGAAAACGGUUCCAAGCUUCAGGUUUUUUGUGCAGCUGCUUUCAGAGCUAGCUAUGAGGAUCUAUAAGCUUUCAGUUCUUCAAAAGUAGUGUGAUGUAAGAAGAGGUGUCUUUAAUACUCUUUCCUAGCCUAUGCAUUAGUCUGUGUAUUAAUUAGAAUCUUGAACCCUAGAGAUUACAUUUUCCACAAUUCCCUUUUCCUUUUCGUCUAUGUGUGUCAUUAUGUUGAUUGAAAUUUAAGUUUUGGUUUUGGCCAUGCUUUCUCUGGAUCCAUGUGAAGGAGGGAGGAGUGCUCUUGGUUUUU